GGCUAAAUGGAGUCUUGCUCAGAUUUUCAGAGGAAGGAGUUUAAAGUAUACUGAACAGCAUCUAAAGUCCAGGCGUUUCAGGGAGUGUGACAUGGCUUACUUCUCUAGUUCCUCCCACAGCCUACGAGGGAGGCAUCACCAUCUCCAUCCCACGGAUAAGGAAAUGCAACCUCUGCAGGAUUAAAUAUCCUCCUCAGUUAAGGAAGCCAGAACUCAGACACUGUGCUCCAUGGACUAUGGCAAGUCUAUCUCUCUGAAGACUCUGGUGAAUUUAAAAUCUAGUCUUCUUCAGCUUCCUAGGGCUGUUCUCCUGUGACUCAUCAACCUCUUCCAACUUCAAAUCUACCGAUAGCCAGCCAAAUGUUUUCCAAGUCACUGUACACUGAUACUUCCUCCCUUCCUCUAAGGACCUCAUGUUUAUACUGUGUUCACCCAGAUAAUCCUGGACCAUCUGCCCAACUCAAAGUCAACUGUCAACAGCAUAGAUCGACCUCAACCACAGUUCUUUCUUAUCACAUGACUUAACAUUUUCACAGGCUCUGAAGAUCAGUGCCUAGCAUCUUUGGGGAGUCGUACCUCUGCCCAUCACCCUCAGCAGCUAAUGGGAGGCCUCUGUCCACCUCUCCAUCCCUGACUGCCUGGAUGAGAACAUAGAACCCCAAUUGCCUGAAUGACGACACAGAGGCCCCAACUGUCUGGAUGUUGGGAGCACAAAGGUCCUUGUGUCAGAGAUAAGCACUAAGGAAACCCGGAAUGUCAAACAUGUGGGGUCGGCUCUUCAACAAAAGGAAUGUAUAACCUAUUUUCCUCCCAGAAGGCUAGAGCUGAAAGUUGUUGAUAGCCUAGUGACCUGUGCUAUCUGCAGGGUCAGGCAAGACCUGACUCCCUCAGACUCUUAUGUUUAGCCCAGACCUCCUCUCUAGACCUUUAUCUUUAGCAUUGUUUCUCCAUCAAUAGAACUCAUCUUUACGGGAGAUGCCACACAUACUUUAUAGCCUGGUGACCUCUGGACUAUGUCUGUAUGACAGAAACCACACAAGAUCCUCCCCUAAGCCUGAAGCUAUAGAACUCAUCUUUGUGGAAGAAGUCAAUUGUACUUUAGAAAAGAGUUUUGAUGUAGUCGUACUUUAAGCUUUAUUGUGCACAAAAGAUUGAGUUAAUUGUUACCAGGAAACUUUUUGCCACAUUGUACUGUACUUACAUAUGCCUAAUGUCAGGUGUGGUGGUACAUGCCUUUAAUCUCAGCAUUUGGGAGACAGAAGCAGGCAAAUCUCUGUUAGUUUAAGACCAUUCUGGUUUGCAAAGUGAGGUUUAAGACAAACAGAACUAUAUAGUGAGACCCUGUCUUGAAAACAAACUAAAUUAUGUCU
ensembl:lincRNA Gm42784 predicted gene 42784